AGAGUACCGUCUAGACCUGCUCUUUUAUGAAAAGCACUAUAUAAUUUUUUUUUAAUUGAAUAGGAGGUUCCCACUAUGGAAGAUAGGUUUGUAUCUACAGUGCAUCAGACAAGCUUUUCUGUGUGAACCAGCACUGAACACUGUUGAACUUGGCCCCAUCCAGUGAAAAUCCUGUGUUUCUGAUCAGACAAAUUGUUAUUCAAAGCAAAGUAAUUUUAUGUCUUAAAAAAUGCCUUAAAUUAACUUAAUAUUGAUCUGCUAGAACAGUAAAAUGCUACAGCAAUAAUAAUGCAUGAAUAUAAUAGUAUAGGAUCACAGGGACUAUUUGUUCUGUAUUGACUACUUUUUCUUUUGAUAUUUAAGUAGACUUACAGAUCAUACUUGACAAUAUGGCAAGAGGCCCAAAAGCACUGACUGUAAUAGGUCAAAUAUCUGGUCUCCAAGGCUAAUCCUGGCUCAGCUUCUCCGCUGACAAGAAACCCUUUCUUGGCUUCUGACUGUCAUCCUCUUUAGUCAGGAGUGCCACAACACAGAUCAUAUUCAUCUAAAAAAGUAGAGUAAAGCUUUCAAAGGGAAAACAUCACUUGAAACGUUAGCAAAACAUAAUUACAGUGUUGGGGGAUGAAGGAGCGGGUUGGAGAUCUGCAGACGGUUACUUUUUUGGUUAAGAUGUUGUGGGCUCUUGGCUCGAGGAAGGCAACAGAAAAAGGAAAAAGCCCAUGUGUCUGGUGGAGUCAUUUCAGAAUGAGGAUGAGCACACAAAAUAAAGUAAAUAAAAUUAAAUGUGAUCCAGAUAAAGAAUUCAAAGUAGCAAUUAAAGGAGAACAGUUAAACAUAGUGGGAUGCUUUUUCUCUAAAAUAAAAUCAGUCUUGAAAAUGAGUCUGUACAGUUGUAAAGAUUUAUUGGACCUGUUGUAAAAAAUACCAAGUGUUGUGGUGGCAGCCCGGCUGAUGGUGAGAGUUUAUUUCUCAUUUUUUCUCGGGCUGUGCCUGCCUCUCUGUGUCUCCUCCUCUCUCCCCGCAUGUGCUCUCCCUCUCUCUCUGCUCUUGAGCCCAGCUGACGGUCCAAACCUGCACCUCAUUAGCCGCCUCCUCUGCCUGCCACACCUGCCAGCAAUCAACUACAUCUCUGCCAGUAUACCAACCCGGUUCUCCACACAAUCUCGGCUUGAUCGUCGUUUCUCCUGACCUGGUUCACUCACCUCCGUCCACCGUCGUGUCAGCUGGGCUUGCCUACCUUCCCUCUCCCCUCGGGUGUCCUCCACGGCGUCCUCCCUGCUCCCCCUCGCUCCUCACCAAUCUGCCUGCCACCACACUCCUCCAACCCCCUCUCCGGUCAGUUCUCCCAUGACUCCUCUCCUCCUUGAACCCGGGCUCCCCUCUGCUCCCUUGCCUCAACCUCCUCUGCCCCACCUGCUUCUCAGUCCUCCGUGCCCUCAGCCCCUUUUCCCCCUAAUAAAACCUGUUUCAAUCCGA